UACGGGGGGGGCAAGCGUUGUUCGGAAUUACUGGGCGUAAAGGGUUUGUAGGUGGCCGGCUAAGUCAGACGUGAAAUCCCUCAGCUUAACUGGGGAACUGCGUCUGGGACUGGUCGGCUUGAGGGCCGGAGAGGAACGCGGAAUUCCAGGUGUAGCGGUGAAAUGCGUAGAUAUCUGGAGGAACACCGGUGGCGAAGGCGGCCUGCUGGGCAGUUUUGCUGACACUGAGGCGCGACAGCGUGGGGAGCAAACAGG
rnacentral:rRNA from 1 species